AUUGAACGCUGGCGGCAUGCCUUACACAUGCAAGUCGAACGGCAGCACGGGGGCAACCCUGGUGGCGAGUGGCGAACGGGUGAGUAAUGCAUCGGAACGUGCCCAGUAGUGGGGGAUAACCAGUCGAAAGACUGGCUAAUACCGCAUACGACCUAAGGGUGAAAGCGGGGGACCGUAAGGCCUCGCGCUAUUGGAGCGGCCGAUGUCUGAUUAGCUAGUUGGCGGGGUAAGAGCCCACCAAGGCGACGAUCAGUAGCUGGUCUGAGAGGAUGACCAGCCACAUUGGGACUGAGACACGGCCCAAACUCCUACGGGAGGCAGCAGUGGGGAAUGUUGGACAAUGGGCGCAAGCCUGAUCCAGCAAUGCCGCGUGCAGGAAGAAGGCCUUCGGGUUGUAAACUGCUUUUGUACGGAACGAAACGGUCCGGGUUAAUACCCUGGGCCAAUGACGGUACCGUAAGAAUAAGUACCGGCUAACUACGUGCCAGCCGCCGCAGUAAGAC
rnacentral:rRNA from 1 species